rnacentral:rRNA from 1 species
UACAGAGGGUGCGAGCGUUGUCCGGAAUCACUGGGCGUAAAGGGCGCGUAGGUGGCGCGACAAGUCGGUGGUGAAAGUUCGACGCUCAACGUCGAAUCGGCCACCGAUACUGUUGGGCUUGAGCACUGUAGAGGCUAAUGGAAUUCCCGGGUGUAGCGGUGGAAUGCGUAGAGAUCCGGAAGAACACCGGUGGCGAAGGCGGUUAGCUGGGCAGUUGC